rnacentral:lncRNA from 1 species
UUUACUUGUGCUCUUGCCCAGGCUAACUGACACUUCACAUAUUCUUAUCAAGUUCAAUGGUCAGCUCAAAAGCACAAAUGUAGGUGGAAACAUCAGCUGUGCAAGGGUGAGAGUCACAUAGUAGAAAGUUACUUAAUCUGGUCAUACUUCUGUAUGACGCCUAAAAGAAGGUGUGAGAUUGCGGCCUCUCCUCAACCAGAUUCAGAGCAUGAACAAAAAGAACGUGGAGACAAAGACAGGAGGAGAAGUGUCCUGAGUCCAUCUGCCAAGAGAAACAGGUGCAAGAAAGUAAAUUAGCCUCAGGCUCUGAUUCCUGGCUGGCAGGCUUAAGUAGACCUUAUCCCACAA